rnacentral:rRNA from 1 species
GAUGAACGCUGGCGGCGUGCCUAAUACAUGCAAGUCGAGCGAACGGACGAGAAGCUUGCUUCUCUGAUGUUAGCGGCGGACGGGUGAGUAACACGUGGAUAACCUACCUAUAAGACUGGGAUAACUUCGGGAAACCGUAGCUAAUACCGGAUAAUAUUUUGAACCGCAUGGUUCAAAAGUGAAAGACGGUCUUGCUGUCACUUAUAGAUGGAUCCGCGCUGCAUUAGCUAGUUGGUAAGGUAACGGCUUACCAAGGCAACGAUGCAUAGCCGACCUGAGAGGGUGAUCGGCCACACUGGAACUGAGACACGGUCCAGACUCCUACGGGAGGCAGCAGUAGGGAAUCUUACGCAAAGGGCGAAAGCCGGACGGAGCAACGCCGCGUGAGUGAUGAAGGUCUUCGGAUCGUAAAACUCUGUUAUUAGGGAAGAACAUAUGUGUAAGUAACUGUGCACAUCUUGACGGUACCUAAUCAGAAAGCCACGGCUAACUACGUG